CGUUAAAAUAACCAAACCGAACCAAUAAAUUUUUUAAAUAUAUAUUAUAAUUAUUUAUAUAUAAUUUAUAAAUAAAAUAUAAAUAUUUUAUUAAAUUUAAUCUUAAACUAAAUUUUAAUCUAUGUCUAGCCAAAGCCAACCAAUACUUUAGCCCAAUUGCCCAAAGCCCCAACCCAAGCCCAACUCUACCUACUGUUACUAAUAGUAAUAAGUUCACCCUACCUCACCUUUUUUACUUUAGCUUUCACAAUAAUAGACCGUAGUACAUCUGCUGCUUCUUUUGUUCUUCAUUGAAAUCAAAAGGCAGCCGCAGCUUCUGGCAUACAUAAAAAAAAAUUUCUUUUUAGUUUUUCAUCUCACAAGGAAAAGUAAAAAUAACGAUUGAAGAUUGGGAAGUGAAAACUUUGAAUAAAAGAUUAUUAAAAUUUGGGAAGAUGAAAACGACCUUAGAUGUUGAAGAUUUGGGGGCUCAACCUCAAGUAGAAGGAACUCCAACUACAUCAGCAUCUUAUGCAACUCAAGAACAUGACAGUGUUUCAAAUCUUACUUCAGUAGGCAAUCCUUCAAAAAAAUAGAAAAGAAUAACUCCGUGUCUUUAAGAUUCUAGCCUCGACAGGAGAAAAACAUCAGAAGUUUGGGAUCAUUAUUUAGAAAUUAUUAAUAAAGUGAGAGUUAAUGGCAAAAUGUAAGUAUUACUUCAAAGACUUUUCUUGCGUUAGUAAGAAUGGAACUUCUAAUCUUUGGGGACAUUUGCUUACUAAGUGUUUGAAAUACCUUUUAAGUCCAUUGAUAGAAAGCAAACAACUCUCAAAAUAAUUAAAGGAGGGGGGCAACCAAGUUUGGAGAAGGUUAUUUAUAAUGUCGCUGAAGUUAGGAGAGCUAUUGCUGAGUUUAUUAUAAUUGAUGAACAACCUUUUAGAGUCAUUGAGGGCGAAGGCUUUAAGAGAUUAAUGUCGCUUAUUUUGCCUAAUUAUAAUUUGCCUUCUCGUAUUACAGUUGCUCGACAGUGUUUAAGAAUUUAUCAAGAAGAGAAACCAAAGCUUAAAAGGGUUAUUAAAGGACAUCGUGUUUGUAUUACUAGUGAUACGUGGACUUCACUUCAAAAUUUUACGUAUGUGGUCAUCACUGCCCAUUGGAUUGACAAUGACUGGAAGUUACAAUUUUUUUGAAAUUUUUUUUCAAGUUCCAGAUCACACUAUUGCGUUUGCUAUUGAAUCUUGUUUGUCAGAUUGGGGAAUUAAAAAUCUAUUUACAGUGACACUUGAUAAUGCAUCGGCUAAUGAUGCAGCAAUCACACACUUGAAAGGAAAAAUUUGUGAUUGAAAAGGUGUUAUCAUGAAAAAUAUUUUUCUACAUGUUCGGUGCAAUGCUCACAUCCUAAACUUGAUUAUAAAAGAAGGAUUGAGUGAGAAAAAUAAGUCCAUUUCUCGGGUAAGAAAUGUUGUGAAAUAUGUUAAAUCUUCUUGUGCAAUAACUGCUUCUUUCAAGUCAUAUGUUGAGAAGGUUAAACUUGACACCAAUGGACUUUUGAGUUUAAAUGUUGAAAUAAGGUGGAACUUUACAUAUUUGAUGUUUAAUACUACUGCCAAAUUUGAAAAGGCAUUUUCAAGAAUGUAUGUUGAUGAUCAUAAGUACUUGAAAUAUUGUCUUGACUUGAAUGGAAAGAUAGAACAUCCAUCUUCGAAAGAUUGGAAAGAUGUGAAUGUCUUUCUCAAGUUUUUGGAGAUUUUCUAUCAAACCACUUUGAAGUUUUCCAGUCCUUUGCAAGUUACUAUAAAUACUUUCUUUCAUGAACUUUUUAAUCUUUAGAGCAUAAUUGUUAACUAUUCAAAGAGUGGUGAUUCUAUUUUAACUGAUAUGGAUAAGAAGAUGAAAGUGAAGUUUGAUAAAUAUUGGGGUGAUUUUAGUGAUACGAAUAUGUUGUUGUUUGUUGCUGUUGUGUUGGAUCCUCGCUACAAAAUGAAGUAUUUUGAGUUUCUUUUUACGAAAUAUUAUAAUCUAGUGGAGGGAUGUAAAAAGUGUGAUAAAGUACAAGAUACUUUAACCAGCUUGUAUGCUUAUUACAAGAGUUCUAUUUAUGGAAUUUCUUGUGAAAAUAUUGGAGAUCAAACUAGUGUGAUUAGUGAAAUUGAUGCAGUUGGUAGUUCUGAUGUGUGGCAAUCACAAUGGGAGAAAUACCUUGAAAAAGAGUCUAAUGUUGAUGAUAAAUCUGAUCUUGAAAAGUAUUUGAAGGGUGAUGAGGGAAAAAAUUAAGGAUUUCAACAUUUUGAAUCGGUGGAAAGCUUCAUCAGAAAGAUAUCCAAUUGUCUCUCGAAUUGAAAGGGAUGUGCUUGCUAUUCCUACAUCUACUGUUGCUUUAGAAUCAGUUUUUGGCACCAGUGGUCGAGUUCUUGAUUGUUAUCGGAGUUCUUUGUUAGCAAAUACUGCGGACGCUCUUAUUUGUGGUCAACAAUGAUUAUGUUAAACAUCUAAAGAGUGCAAGCUUGAAGAUCUUUUAGAAGAAAUUCAAAAUCUUGAAACAAUUGAAAAAGAAAGAUCGAAGGUUUCAAAGUCAUGCUGUGCUUGCGCUCUAAGAAGCUGUUGAAGCGUAUUUAGUUGGUUUCUUUGAGGACAACUUGUGUGCCAUCCAUGCUAAGAGAGUCACCAUAAUGCCCAAGGAUAUCCAACUUGCAAGGCGUAUUUGUGGAGAACGAGCUUAAGCUGAACGCAAUAUUGAUUAAUGAAAAAUCUCUUUUUGGUUUCCCGUGUAUGGUUUUAGCCUUUAGGUACCUAACUAGCAUUUUUUGUUUGUGCCUGGAAUGUUUAUCAGUAGAUGUUUUUUCAAGGAUCUUAUCAUGUUCUGUAAAUACUGGUAUAAUAGUUUUGGUGAUGUGAUACAUCGAUUAGUAUGAAUGCUGAUUCUGGUUUCGUUCUUGUUAUGGUUCUUU